UACGUAGGUGGCGAGCGUUGUCCGGAUUUACUGGGCGUAAGGCGCGCGCAGGCGGUUCUGUAAGUCCUGGGUGAAAUCGCCCGGCUCAACUGGGCGGGGGCCUGGGGGACUGCGGGACUGGAGGGGCCUAGAGGCCGGUGGAACUCCCGGUGUAGUGGUGAAAUGCGUAGAGAUCGGGAAGAACACCAGUGGCGAAGGCGGCCGGCUGGGGGCGCCCUGACGCUGAGGCGCGAGAGCGUGGGGAGCGAACCGG
rnacentral:rRNA from 1 species